rnacentral:rRNA from 1 species
CGCCUCUUGACUCUUAUAAGAGGUCCAGCCUGCCCAGUGACCAUGUUCAACGGCCGCGGUAUCCUAACCGUGCGAAGGUAGCGUAAUCACUUGUUCUUUAAAUGCGGACUAGUAUGAAUGGCACCACGAAGGUUAUACUGUCUCCUUUUUCUAAUUAGUGAAACUAAUCUCCCCGUGAAGAAGCGAGGAUAUAUCUAUAAGACGAGAAGACCCUAUGGAGCUUUAAACAACACAGCAAUUACCUGCUAAACUAAGAAGUUUCUGAACAUUUUCAAUCUUUUAAGUAAUCUGACUGCAAGUUUUUGGUUGGGGUGACCACGGAGCAUAACACAACCUCCAUGUUGAAAGAAUUCUUUCUAAGCCAAGAACAACCUUUCUAAGCAUCAAUAUAUUGACAUCCAUUGACCCAAUACAUUUGACCAACGAACCAAGUUACCCUAGGGAUAACAGCGCAAUCCACUUCAAGAGCUCCUAUCGACAAGUGGGUUUACGACCUCGAUGUUGGAUCAGGGUAUCCCAGUGGUGCAGCCGCUACUAAAGGUUCGUUUGUUCAACGAUUAAAACCCUA